rnacentral:lncRNA from 1 species
UAUUAUGGACUGAUAAUAUAAUUGCUAUUGCACACGAUCUUGCUGAGAUAUCUUCUAUUUGUCAAUUUCUUGAAAGAAAAUAUCAACUUUGAGGUUUAGGCAAGUUGGACGAGUACCUUGGCAUCAUGAUUGAUUGUGACAGAUUAGCUUGCACUCUGUAUUUUCAUCAGGGCCCUUACGCUCACAAGAUUAUUACGCAAUUUCAUCUUCAAGAUUGAAUUUCUUCUACGACCUCUU